rnacentral:rRNA from 1 species
UACGUAGGGUCCGAGCGUUGUCCGGAAUUAUUGGGCGUAAAGGGCUCGUAGGCGGUUGGUCACGUCGGGAGUGAAAACUCAGGGCUCAACCCUGAGCGUGCUUCCGAUACGGGCCGACUAGAGGUAUGCAGGGGAGAACGGAAUUCCUGGUGUAGCGGUGGAAUGCGCAGAUAUCAGGAGGAACACCGGUGGCGAAGGCGGAUCUCUGGGCCGUAACUGACGCUGAGGAGCGAAAGCAUGGGGAGCGAACAGG